AGCGUCACAGGAUCGACCGCCCGGGUCACCAGGAGGUAGUCACGCAUGGCCAUCGCGUGCCGGCCCUC
rnacentral:sRNA from 3 species